rnacentral:ncRNA from 2 species
GAACCAACGCAUGAUUAAGGUGCCGCCCAUUCGGGGGGAGAAUAGGGAAGUCUGAGCAUGGGAGAAUCAUUCUGUGCGUAGGCGCGGGCCCGCCACUGUACCGGGGAGACCUUACAAUAGCCACUCGCAAGGGGAAGGCGUAAGCAGUCGAUGAAACGGGAGCCAGGAGACCUGCCUUAAUCGGUUUUUAAAU